GUACACGAGCGGCGAACGGGUGAGUAACACGUGAGCAAUCUGCCCUCCACAUCGGGAUAACCCCCGGAAACGGGAGCUAAUACCGGAUACGACCACUUCAGGCAUCUGAUGGUGGUGGAAAGUUCCGGCGGUGGAGGAUGAGCUCGCGGCCUAUCAGCUUGUUGGUGGGGUAACGGCCCACCAAGGCUACGACGGGUAGCCGGCCUGAGAGGGUGACCGGCCACACUGGGACUGAGACACGGCCCAG
rnacentral:rRNA from 1 species